GCAGACAUGCUACGUGAUCAGCUGCACUGACGUACCUUACCAGUAAGCCAUGCCUACCUACGUGCAGCAGCUGCGGUAUAGCUAGCUGCUAGCGUAUCCUGUAUUAUUGGCGUAAAGGCGCCGCGCAGUUGCUUUCUUAAGUCUGAUGGUGACAGCCCACGGCUCCAACCGGGGGAGGGGUCAUUGGAAUACUGGAAGACUGAGUGCAGGAGGAGGAAAGUGGAUUUCCAUGGUGUAGGCGGUGUAUGCCGAGGAGAUAGGGAGGAACCACCAGGUGGCGAGGGGACCUUUCUGGUCGGUAACUACCACGGGGGCGCGAAAGCGUGGGGACCAACCAGGUUAAGAUACCUUGGUAUUCCACGCGGUAAAGGUUGAUUGCUAAGUGUAGGAGGGUUUCCCCCCUUUAGUGCGGAAGUAAAGCCUUUAACCAUUCCCCCGGGGGAGUACGGCGGCAAGGCUGAAACUAAAGGGAAUGGAGGGGGCCCGCCCCAGGCGGGGGACCUGGUGGUUUAUUUGGAACCAACGGGAAGACCCUACCCAGGUCUGGACUUCUUUGGCCACCCCAAAAAAUAGGGUUUUCCUUUGGGAAGAAGAUUACCGGGUGGGCCAUGGUGUUGUUCACCCCGGUUCUUAAGAGGUUGGGUUAAUUCCCCCAACAAGGCCACCCCUUAUUUUUGGUGCCCUCCUUUAAGUGGGCAAUUUUAAGGUGACGCCGGGGGCCAACCCGGGGGAAGGGGGGAGGACGCCAAUUCUCCAUCCCCCUUUUACCUUGGGCACCCCCCUUGCUCAAAUGGACGGUCCAAAAAGCGCCAAAACCCCAAGGGGGAGUUAUUUUCAAAAACCCUUUUCCAUUUCGGAUGUUGGGUUCCAAUUGCCCUCCUUAAACCGGGAAUCCUUGUUAAUCGGGGUUCACCUGGCCCCGAGAAAACGUCCCCGGCCCUCCCCCCCCCCUUUUGGGGUCCCCCAGGGGGGGGUUAUUUUGUCCCCCCCUCUUCAACU
rnacentral:rRNA from 1 species